rnacentral:rRNA from 1 species
GAGGGAAAGUCUGGUGCCAGCAGCCGCGGUAAUACCAGCUCCAAUAGCGUAUAUUAAAGUUGUUGCAGUUAAAAAGCUCGUAGUUGGACUUGUGUGCGUUGUCUGGUGGUGGUCUGCGUCCAAAAGGGCGUUGCGACCGGCCCCAGCAUCGCCUGGGAAUUUGCAACUGGAUCGCCGCGGGUCUUAAUUGGCCUGGGGCGCUGUCGGGUUGCUCGUUUACUGUGAGAAAAUUAGAGUGUUCAAGGCAGGCGUGGAUUGCAAUUGGAUAUGUUGGCAUGGAAUAAUAAGAUAAGGCUCCGGUAUUUUGUUGGUUUUGACGCGCGGGAGUAAGGAUUGAGAAGGACUGUCGGUG